CCCUUUCCUGCUCCCGCCAUCCAUUACACAUCCAUCGAAAUUAAGCUUGAAGAAACUUGGGGGUGGGGGCUUCCAUGUGAAGAACACCGUACGAAACACUCCAUGAGCGGAAGAGGAGCCCCAGGUGUCUGGAGCUAUCAAGGGUCCAUCCGACAAAUGCGACUGAAUAUCCUCAGCUGCCUGGCUCCAAGACUGCUCAACCACAAGCUGGGGGGGACAGCUCUCGUCAAACAUCCAGGCACUCUUAGAUAGCCAGAUUUGAUACGCCAUAUAGGUCACCACUGAGGCCGCCUGUCUAGAGUGUAGAGAUGGUGGCUAUUGGUCGAAAAAUUUUAUUGAACAGUUAGUGUUCUCACCACUGUGGCCUUCACUCACUAUUGUUCACUAUAGCUACUACCACUUGUAAUUGGGAUUGCUUUAUCGCCAUGACGGCCUCUUGCUAGAGUUAAAAGGCUCAUCCCCACCAAGGAAAGAAGAAGAAAAGGGGGAGGAAAAAGACGAGGAAGGGAGAGAAAUCCACACCAUUAAUGACCAGAUCCAACUAGUGAUGGCAGGAUUUGGCCAUUGGCAGUGUUGAAAGCCAGACGGAGGGAAGAAGAAGAGGGGGGAGGGAGAGGGAGGGAGGGAGGGAGGGAGGGAGAGAGAGAGAGAGAGAGAGAGAGAGGAAGAGGGAGAGAGAGCGAGAAAGGAAGAAAAAGAGGGGAGCCAGCGGUUGGCCAAUGGAAAAGGUGAGAGUUGAGGGGUUGGCAACUAAAGUCUCUAAGGGUGGAAAAAAAUUUCUCAAGAUUUUAAGGCCUCAUAUAUCAUGCGAGCUCUUCAACGGCCAUCCCACGCUCGUCACAUAAUAGACCUUCUCCAAAUUAUAUUCGACUAUAACCUCAAUUCCCAAUUUUCUUGUGGCAAGUCUUUCUCAAUUACCUCUUCUUGAUGUGCAACUGGUGCCAUUGGAUCAUAAUCCUUCCACAUGUUGUCAAUCUUAAAAUCUGGAAAAGGACCAUCCUUAUUAGUUUUUAAUACAUUUCAAAAAAAGAGAGAGAAACAUUUAGCUCUUAGAUAAUAUAAAAGAUCUAUAAGUAUGUCUAAAAUUGGUGGAAGAUAGGUCUGAAUACGAUGCUGCAAAGUAGUGCUUUAUGAUUAUAAUUCAGUUACUCCAUAUUCAUUUAAUGCUCAUGUAUUUUGAGAUAGUUAUCUAUCACUUCUUUUUUUGCUGGAUCGUCUGAAAAA